rnacentral:lncRNA from 1 species
UUGGAGUUUCAUUAAAUUUUUUUCAGGUUACUGAAACGUGGAGUCCAGAAAGACAAUCCCAUUCCAAAGGCUAAGCAGUGAUGAUGUUUUCAACAGGAUGCAGCCCCUGGAUAUAAGCUCCUGCUUUCCAGAAAUCUCUGAGAUAUCUAAGAGACACAGUGGCUGUGACACCUUUUUGACACGUGUCUCUGAGAAAUUGCAAGGACAUGGAGAAGAUAGGAGAGCAGGAGCCAGAGGGAGGUCCAGACACCAAGGUGGGAUUCUGAGGUCCACUGCCCACAACAAGGUCAGCCUUGGGGGACCUUUAACAGUGAUGUCUCCGGGGAGCCCCUGAGGAGGUGUGCGGCUAGGAAGUGCACCAUAAAAAAACAGCGGCUCUGUUUUCCUGUGUGGCAAUGAUCCGUGGUGUGUCACGGACACAUCCUAGCCACACGGCGCAACAGGAAAACUGACGAGUCUGUUUGCAAAGGAAGUCACUCUGGAGGGAAGUAUCUGCCCAGUGACUUAAGCUUUGCUGUGAAAAUAAGUGCAGGAUUCAGGGUCAGAAGAUCAGACUCAAGUCGUAUGUCAGCCUCUGUAUCUGAGAUGCUCACUAAGCUUUAAUGCUGUUGGAUAAUGGAGAUGAGGUUGCGUUUCCCUACAGCAACGUGAGGGAACUGGGUGAGAAAACACACAGGGAAUGGCUUUCUAGACCAUAAAGCACUCUACACGUCUCAGAGCGAAUCGAUUAACUCUAAGGUACUGUGAUCAAUACCAUUAAAGUAACAGGCAGGAACAAGCAAA